rnacentral:rRNA from 1 species
UACGUAGGGGGCAAGCGUUGUCCGGAUUUAUUGGGCGUAAAGAGCGUGUAGGCGGCCUGAAAGGUCAGCUGUGAAAACUCGAGGCUCAACCUCGAGACGUCGGUUGAAACCAUCUGGCUAGAGUCCGGAAGAGGAGUGUGGAAUUCCCGGUGUAGCGGUGAAAUGCGCAGAUAUCGGGAAGAACACCCGUGGCGAAAGCGGCUCACUGGACCAUAACUGACGCUGAUGCACGAAAGCUAGGGGAGCAAACAGG